GGAAUUUGCUAUGAAAUAUACUCAUCAAACGGUUCUGGCCCUUGUACAGAAUAUUUUAUCCAACAAAAAGCAAGAUAUUAGAAGUUCCUUAUGAUCCCCUGACUUUCUACAGUUCGACGAACGAAACCGUAAAUAGUGUAUAAAAACAUCUGCUUGAAAUUUGUCCUUGACUGUGAGGCAUUCCUUACCUCUCUCUCCCCUCCACGACAACGCACCGUCAACCGAACGUUGACCGGAACAGUUUUGCUAACGGACAAAGCUGUGUAGCAUUGUGUCGCUGGAAAUCAUGGCGUGAGGACGUAUCGUUAUGUAUAUUGCAUACCUGCUAUGGAAUACUUCGACGGCUAUUUUGAUAGUAUAUUUGUACAACAUUAUUAGACAUGUGAUGCGUCAGCUAUGAAAGUUUUACGAAGUUCAAAUCUUCGACUUGCCGCGGGUUUUAAAAGUGGAGGAGGCAGCUACCUUUUUCGACCAAUCCGCGCUGACAGUUAGACGACGCUGUGAUACUGUAAAUUUCAAUGUAAUAUUGAAAGUGCCAUCCUUAGAACGUAUGACGCAAUAUCACUCACAAGAUCAAUCUCAUUUCCUCGACUUCAUAAUUAUAUAAUAUUGGACUUUGCUAUGAAAUAAGCUCAUAAAACGAUUCUGGCCCUGCUACAGAAUAUUGAAUCCAGCAAAAUGCUAGCCAUUGGAGGUUGCUUAUGAUCGUCUGACUUCUAUAGUUCAACGAACGAAACUGUAGAUUGCGUAUAAAAAUAUCAAUCUGCUUGAAAUUUGUCCUUGACCGAGAAGCAUUCGCUGCCUCUCUGCUCGCCUGCACCCCCCCAGACGUUCUUUGUUUGGAACAGUUUUGCUAACUCACAGUGCUGGGUAGCAUUGUGCCACUGGAAAUCAUGACAUGUGAUUCGUCAACCAUAAGAACCUUUACAAAGUUCAAAUCCCCGUGCUAUCGUGGGCUUCGGAAAUGGCGGGAAGAGCUAGAUCUCUCGACCAAUCCGAUGACGGCUAGGCGACGUCAUGAUAGGGUGGGAUCAUUUUCCUUUUGAACGUCGUGGCAAAACUGGACGUGAGAUCGAAUUCAGAUUAUUAGUUGACUCAAAUGAUCACGUAGAACGUAUUGGAAACGCCAACGAUCGUAUUUGAGGACGAGCAAUAAACGCCAUGAUGAUUAAUCUCUGAUGACUGGAAUGGCCUCAAAACAUAAAAGAUUCAAGGAAUGAACAGCAUAUUGACAAAUAGUCGAC